rnacentral:rRNA from 1 species
CCAGUGACAUCACGUUCAACGGCCGCGGUAUCCUAACCGUGCGAAGGUAGCGCAAUCAAUUGUCUCAUAAAUCGAGACCUGUAUGAAUGGCCAAACGAGGUCUUAACUGUCUCCUCCAGAUAAUCAGUGAAAUUGAUCUCCCUGUGCAAAAGCAGGAAUACCCACAUAAGACAAGAAGACCCUGUGGAACUUCAAAAUCAACAGUCACUUUCACAUCCACUCACUCCAACCGGAUACCACUUUUUACCCGAAUAACAUUGACCUGAAUUUUUUGGUUGGGGCGACCUUGGAGAAUAACAAAACCUCCAAACAUAAGACCAUUACUCUUAACCAAGAACAACCAAUCAACGUACUAACAGUAACCAGACCCAAUAUAAUUGAUUAAUGAACCAAGCUACCCCAGGGAUAACAGCGCAAUCUCCUUCAAGAGCCCCCAUCGACAAGGAGGUUUACGACCUCGAUGUUGGAUCAGGACAUCCUAGUG